AUGGAUGGAAGAGAGCGUCCUUCAGUCCACUCAUGGGCGUUGCUAGGGUCGAAUUAGCUGCCGACUCAUUCACCCACAUGCCAAGCAAGAACACAGCUUGUGAGCUUAGCAGAUGAGUGAAUGAAGCGGGAGGUAACGUUCUGAUCUCUGCGUCGUCUUUGCUUGGACUGAAGGGUGCUCCCUCCUCCUCUCCU
rfam:Leersia perrieri chromosome 1, whole genome shotgun sequence.